GGAGAGGUUGCUCAGUGGUUAAGAGCACUGGCUGUUCUUCCAGAGGACCUGGGUUCAAGUCCCAGACACCCA
rnacentral:tRNA from 1 species